UACAGAGGUCCCAAGCGUUGUUCGGAUUCACUGGGCGUAAAGGGUGCGUAGGAGGUUGGCAAAGUCGGGUGUGAAAUCUCACCGCUUAACGGUGAAAUGGCGCUCGAUACUGGUUGACUAGAGUAUCGGAGGGGAAAGCGGAAUUCCUGGUGUAGCGGUGAAAUGCGUAGAUAUCAGGAGGAACACCAACGGCGAAGGCAGCUUUCUGGACGAUAACUGACUCUGAGGCACGAAGGCUAGGGGAGCGAAC
rnacentral:rRNA from 1 species